rnacentral:lncRNA from 1 species
GUCAGUAGUGCCUGCAGGUGAAACCAACCAGCCCUGUGUUAGAGGAGGAAAAGCGGAGAUGACAUGGAAGUCUCCAAGCCUGUGCCAUCCACCUGCCAAGGAAAAGCACAAGCAUACAGUUUGAACAUUUAUUCGCCUCCUGAGCUUGUACAACAGUCGUGGGAGUUGCUGCAGAAGCAAGCGAAAAGCCAGAUGAGCGCUUCUAAACUUAGAGAGAGGUAUUUUUUCUCUCAUAUGCAUAGACCUUUCUUUGAUGCCUGGAAAAUCAAAAGGAAGUUGAUGUUUUCCUAGAAAGAGGCUCUGAGCCAAGUCCUUUCUGUGCUUCCAUUUCUUCCCCUCUACAGGGAGAGCGCCUCAUCUCUUCCAUUUUCCAGGAGAGUUGGGGCCUUCCAUUCCCUCCAGUAAAUACUUGUUUUUCUUCCACCGCUGAGGCAAAUGCGGGGUGGCUGAUCACCUGGCAGACAUCUUAGGAAACAGGAGCACCGGUCUGGGAAACUGCUGGCCUGGCCUAACACCUGGCGCUGUGGUGCAGGCAAGAGGGCAGCCACUGAGGAUUCUUGAGGAGAGAGAGACCAUAGAAUGAAUGAAAGAGUUGGAAAGACUUUAAAGCUCUGGGAGGCUGAAUCCUUUAUUUCGCUGGAAGAAAAACUGAAUGCCAAGAGGGCCUCACUUUCCCCAAAGCUAUACAGCCAUCAGGGGCAAUGCUGGGAUUCCCCCAUGGAUCUCUUGACUCCUAAUACAGUGCUCUUUCUGAUAUGCCAUCUGGCUCCAUAAUGAACAUUGUGUUCCAGGAAAAUCAGUCUGCGCUGAACAGGAUGGAAUUGGGGCAGGACGUCCAGUGAGGAGGACAUUGAGGCAGUAGAGCAGUUGAUUGCCGAAUGACCACCUACCCUGACUUAAAAGAUCAACCUCAGGGAGGAUUGGAGCUUUCUAGAGUCUCUUGGGACAGCAGAAGCACAGGCCGGGUUGGACUGAAUCUUUAAGUGGACAUGAGGGACAAAGUACCUCCUGUUGGUAAACAUCUCACCACCAACCCACUGUGGUGGCUAAAAUCCCACCUUUAGUCCCAGCAACAUAUGAGCAUGUCACCAGGAGGUCUUCACAGGCCUGUCUGCCACCUGAGUGUAGACAUCUUUUGGCCCUGGAGCCCAGAGAGGCUGAAUGUGGAGAGGGUGGAGAGAGGUCUGUAGUCCUCAGAGAAGACUUGCAGCUUUUUCAGAGCCACCAACCC